GACGAACGCUGGCGGCGUGCUUAACACAUGCAAGUCGAACGCUGAAGCCCUGGCUUUUGUUGGGUUGGCUGAGUGGCGAACGGGUGAGUAACACGUGAGUAACCUGCCCUCUUCUUUGGGAUAACGCCCGGAAACGGGUGCUAAUACUGGAUAUUCACUGAUCUUCGCAUGGGGGUUGGUGGAAAGGUUUGUUCUGGUGGGGGAUGGGCUCGCGGCCUAUCAGCUUGUUGGUGGGGUGAUGGCCUACCAAGGCUUUGACGGGUAGCCGGCCUGAGAGGGUGACCGGUCACAUUGGGACUGAGAUACGGCCCAGACUCCUACGGGAGGCAGCAGUGGGGAAUAUUGCACAAUGGGCGAAAGCCUGAUGCAGCGACGCCGCGUGAGGGAUGGAGGCCUUCGGGUUGUAAACCUCUUUCGCUCAUGGUCAAGCCGCAACUGUGGGUUGUGGUGAGGGUAGUGGGUAAAGAAGCGCCGGCUAACUACGUG
rnacentral:rRNA from 1 species